rnacentral:snoRNA from 2 species
ACCUGCAUUCGAAAGUGAUCGCGGCCCCGCCCGUGGCCCGGUCAUCGAUAGUGCAGGGAGAGGAACGCCGAGAGCUGUCCCGUGUUUGGGGGGGCGCGUCCCCUCCUCCCCAAACCCUGUCGCUGUCGGACA